rnacentral:rRNA from 1 species
UACGUAGGGGGCAAGCGUUAUCCGGAUUUACUGGGUGUAAAGGGGGCGCAGACGGCGAUGCAAGCCAGGAGUGAAAGCCCGGGGCCCAGCCCCGGGACUGCUCUUGGAACUGCGUGGCUGGAGUGCAGGAGGGGCAGGCGGAAUUCCUGGUGUAGCGGUGAAAUGCGUAGAUAUCAGGAGGAACACCGGUGGCGAAGGCGGCCUGCUGGACUGCAACUGACGUUGAGGCCCGAAAGCGUGGGGAGCAAACAGG